CAGUGUUCAGGUCGUAAAUUUCACUUUCACAGAACAAUAUAUAUUCGUCCAUAUCAGUUCAUCUCAUUAUUUUUCAUUCCUUCAAACCCUAGAACGACCUCCUACUCUCCUCCAACAUCAAGAACACCAAGGGUUUUCAAGAAAACCCAUCUCAAGAUUCAAGAAUCAAGAUUUGGGAAAUCUUCUCCAAAAUUCAAGUCUUUAAUUCAGGUUUUGGAGCAAUUAAGGGUUUGCAACAUAUUUCCUUCCAAAGUGAUUCAAGCUAGGUUUUGGGUGUUCUUCAAUAGAAAAGUGAAUUGUUAAAUCUUGUUUAACAAAUUAAGGUAACGAAGAAGAGCAGGUUCGUGAUACUUUCGACGCUUAAUAGGACUUGCUACUGCUGUGGAUUUGGUGAGCCCACAUCCUUGUUCGUGGGACACUUUCCGUUUCAUUUAUUAUUCUAGAUUUCCG